rnacentral:sRNA from 1 species
UUCUCUUGAGAUCGCUCAGUGAGGCUGAAGGGAAAGACCAGAGGGUGGGUGGAAGGCAUGAGAACUGGACCUGGAGGAGGCUUUCUGCAGGGAAAAGUCAAUGUAUAGUACCCUCAGAAGGAGGAGAGAGAAUGGGGAGCAAACAGGAACCAAAACACUCACUGCUUGGGGUACUGGAGGCCUCCCAGGAUGUGAAUGCUCACUGCCUCGCUCUGGACUGCUGUAUGAGAGCUUUUGACCCAGUCCUCUCCUAAUAGCAGGUGUGUGGACCCUUCUAGCCUGAGGAGUCCUGCAGGUGUGAAGCUCCACACCUGCCUCCAUAGCACUUUGCCUGUCCCUAAGAGGGCUCAUCGGAGAAGAAAGAAUGGCUGUCAGCCACCUGCCAACCAUGGUCCAGGAAUCGGUGACCUUCAAGGAUGUGGCUAUACUGUUCACCCAGGAAGAGUGGGGGCAGCUGAGCCCCGCCCAGAGGGCCCUGUACAGGGACGUGAUGCUGGAGAACUACAGCAACCUGGUCUCACUGGGACUCUUAGGACCCAAACCAGAUACGUUUUCCCAGCUAGAAAAAAGGGAAGCGUGGAUGCCAGAGGACACCCCUGGAGGCUUCUGUCUUGAUGGGGUUUCACCAU